rnacentral:rRNA from 1 species
UUUUCAGCAGCCGCGGUAAUACGAAGGGGGCUAGCGUUGCUCGGAAUCACUGGGCGUAAAGCGCACGUAGGCGGAUCUUUAAGUCAGGGGUGAAAUCCUGGAGCUCAACUCCAGAACUGCCUUUGAUACUGGGGAUCUCGAGUCCGGAAGAGGUGAGUGGAACUCCGAGUGUAGAGGUGAAAUUCGUAGAUAUUCGGAAGAACACCAGUGGCGAAGGCGGCUCACUGGUCCGGUACUGACGCUGAGGUGCGAAAGCGUGGGGAGCAAACAGGAUUAGAAACCCUUGUAGUCC